rnacentral:rRNA from 1 species
AAUGAACGCUAGCGGCAGGCUUAAUACAUGCAAGUCGAGGGGCAGCAGGACUGUAGCAAUACAGUUGCUGGCGACCGGCAAACGGGUGCGGAACACGUACGCAACCUACCCAUAACUGGGGAAUAGCCCGGGGAAACCCGGAUUAAUACCUCGUAACCUGGUGAAGUGGCAUCACUUUAUCAGUAUAGCUCCGGCGGUUAUGGAUGGGCGUGCGCCUGAUUAGGUAGUUGGCGGGGUAACGGCCCACCAAGCCUGCGAUCAGUAACUGGUGUGAGAGCACGACCAGUCACACGGGCACUGAGACACGGGCCCGACUCCUACGGGAGGCAGCAGUAAGGAAUAUUGGUCAAUGGACGCAAGUCUGAACCAGCCAUGCCGCGUGAAGGAUGAAGGUCCUCUGGAUUGUAAACUUCUUUUAUAGGGGACGAAACCCGGGUAUUCUUACCCGAUUGACGGUACCCUAGGAAUAAGCACCGGCUAACUCCGUGCCAGCCGCCGCAGUAA